CAGUUCGGAUUGAAGGCUGAAAUUCGCCUUCAUGAAGCCGGAAUUGCUAGUAAUGGCAGGUCAGCAUACUGCCGUGAAUACGUUCCCGGGCCUUGUACACACCGCCCGUCACACCAUGAGAAUUGGGGAUACCCGAAGCCUGUGAGCUAACUUUUAGAGGCAGCAGUCGAAGGUAGAAUCAAUGAUUGGGGUGAAGUCGUAACAAGGUAGC
rnacentral:rRNA from 1 species